rnacentral:rRNA from 1 species
GACGAACGCUGGCGGCGUGCCUAAUACAUGCAAGUUGAGCGCUUAAGGUUGGUACUUGUACCAACUGGAUGAGCAGCGAACGGGUGAGUAACGCGUGGGGAAUCUGCCUUUGAGCGGGGGACAACAUUUGGAAACGAAUGCUAAUACCGCAUAAAAACUUUAAACACAAGUUUUAAGUUUGAAAGAUGCAAUUGCAUCACUCAAAGAUGAUCCCGCGUUGUAUUAGCUAGUUGGUGAGGUAAAGGCUCACCAAGGCGAUGAUACAUAGCCGACCUGAGAGGGUGAUCGGCCACAUUGGGACGGGGACACGGCCCAAACUCCUACGGGAGGCAGCAGUAGGGAAUCUUCGGCAAUGGACGAAAGUCUGACCGAGCAACGCCGCGUGAGUGAAGAAGGUUUUCGGAUCGUAAAACUCGGUUGGUAGAGAAGAACGUUGGUGAGAGUGGAAAGCUCAUCAAGUGACGGUAACUACACAGAAAGGGACGGCUAACUACGUG